ensembl:lncRNA
UUUUUUUUCAUAUAUUUUUUUCCUUACAUGUCAUCACUGGCAAUGAUGGUGUUUUUCUUCAUCAAGUCUUAUUUUUAUCGAAGUGAUGAAAGUGGAAACAAAACCUCAAUUGCAAAAGAAUACUAGCACACGUUGUGUCAAAACUAGUACUGUGUUAUUUUUCAGUAGCAGAUAAGUUUUCUCUCUAAAACUGACCUUGCAAUUUAUCCACUAGGGAGCUAGAUAACACAACUACACCCUUUGAGAUAAUAAUUAUUGCUGUAGUAAUGUUGGACAGAUAUUUAUCUGAUUCUUUUCUGAGGAGGAAUUGAUAUUUUAAUAUAGUAUUCCCAGGCUAUAUUUCUGUUAACAAUAUUAACAAAUGUCUGCAAAAGUCAUAUUGAGCCACAGAAGUUCCCUUAAGAAACCUCAGCCACAUAAAUAUGGUAACUGAAUCCUUGUGCAGUUCAGCUACAGAGCAAUGAUAUACCAAUGCCUGCAUGUUUCUUUGAGAUCACAUUAGCUUCCUCUUGGGAUAGCUGGAAAAGGUCAAGAUGCAUAAAGUAAAAGGGAAAAUAACAAGAAAACUGAUCCCAUAUGUCACCAAAUAACCUUUCUUAUUCUUAAGUGACUCCUACGAGUUAACAUGGUCAGACAUGAACCUAAACAUGCCCAUGGUUUUCUGGUAAGGCUGACAGUGCCUGAGAAGGUUUGUAGCACUACAGGUACCCUUUUUGUCUGUGAAUUCACUCAGCACUAAGUACUGCUUUUUCUGCCACUGGAAAAGCCUGUCAGCCUUUGUGUUUAGCUUAAACCGUACUCCAAAUAUAUUCUGGAAGAGAUGCAGGGGAGAGGAAUGUAGUGCAGAAUGGUGGUUUGCAGCAUAGAUACACAAACAAUAAGGAUGUUUCAGGUUUCUGGGGCAGUUCUUCAAGAAUGUCUCAACCAAUAUCUCUGACAAAACCUUAGAAACAUGAUAAGCUAAAGAGAAUCCAUCGGUUUAGAUAAUAGCAAUGACAUAAAGCUCUACAAACUGUCAAUUGAGAGGAGAUGCCUUUUUCUUUUUAAGAUGAUGUCUCAUUUAUGAUUUCUCCUUUCAUUACUGUAAAACAGCUUCUCUCCACAAAUUUCAUUUCUUUAUAUUUUGCACAAAGUACAAGGGUGUAAAUGUGAAACAUACUUUGAAAUGAGAAAGGGCUGUAGAGAUAAUUCACAAUGUAUUUUUGUGGGGUUUAUUUAUUUAUUUCUAUUUGAGUUAUGUAGGUGCAAGAAACAUUUAUGGGAAAAGUAAGAUAUUUUGUAUAGUCAAGUGUUGAAACACUUGAAGUGUUUCAAGUUAAAGAUGUCACCAGUUGUAAGCUUUUUAUGCUACUUCAUAUUAUUCUACAACCAUAAUUUUGUAUUCAAUGGUCCUUUAAAUAAUCACUUGAGGAAACACUGAAAUCAGCUAAUGAACUGUGUGCUUUAAAGUGCCAAACUUGUCUUUUUAAUAGGUAUCUGUGUCUCUGUGUCAUAUAAGUCAGAUUUUUGUACCAUACACUGACUGACGUUAUAAAGCAGAAGAGAAUUAUGAUAUAGUAGUUUUAUACUCAUACUUCAUUGUUUAAAAUUAGAUGUAUUAGAUGACUGACAUUGUGUUUUCAUGUGUACGACUUUGGCUCUACAUGUCUACUUUUUGUGGGCUCUGAGUGGAGAGAAAAUGAGUAGAAAUGUGUAUUCUAUCAUUUGCAAUAUAGAAGGGGAGAUUUGUCAAGAAAACAAAGGGGAGAAGAAUCAUGUGUGUAAAACCAAGGAAUCCAAAAAAAGGAGAAAUCUGCUAUUGUAGGGAUGAGUGUUGAACUCCUAAAUGUCACAGACUGACUUGUCAUGUUUCAAUUAAAAGAGAAAAUUUUACUCUUUUCUCAUGUAAGAGAAAAGUUUUGAGGAGAAAUCUCAGCCUGAAUUGGUGUAAAUUGAGUGCAACCAUUCAGAAUCAAGAAGUUCUUGGAUUCAUUACAAGUAGAAUAGCCUAAGCAUGAGCCAGAUUAAUACUGUAUGUUGAGCCAUGUCUGCAAAAUGUGCAACAAGGCUGAAAUGUAUUGUUGUCAGACAGCAGUUGUUUGGUCCCCACCACAGAUCUUAAAAUAUUAUUAAGAGAUAAAUCAUGUUAAUGAUAUCAUCAGUAAAACUUCAUGCUUAUAAGUACUGUCUAAGUACAGGAAUUAAAACUUAAUUAGUUAAGAACUCUUUUGUCACUAUUAUUUUACUUCUCUGAGAAUUAGUAUAAAACUAUGGCCUUAUUAGAUGAUCAGCUAAAAUACCUCCUUUUGCAAAAUCCAAAAUACAUUGUUUGUUUCUUUGUGUGUGCAUGUUUUUGGUUUUUUUUCUUUUUUUAAUUAAUUCCAAAGUAACAAUCUGUAGAAGUAAAAGCCUGGCCCCAGUGACACUGACUAUGUGACUGUGUUUUCAGCCAUCAUUUUUCUGCUUUAACCACAAUGUAAGAUACUCUGACUGUGUG